rnacentral:rRNA from 1 species
AGAGCGAACGCUGGCGGCAGGCCUAACACAUGCAAGUCGAGCGCCCCGCAAGGGGAGCGGCAGACGGGAGAGUAACACGUGGGAACGUACCCUUUGGUUCGGAACAACACAGGGAAACUUGAGCUAAUACCGGAUACGCCCUUACGGGGAAAGAUUUAUUGCCGAAGGAACGGCCCGCGUCCGAUUAGCUAGUUGGUGAGGUAAUGGCUCACCAAGGCGACGAUCGGUAGCUGGUCUGAGAGGAUGACCAGCAUCACUGGGACUGAGACACGGCCCAGACUCCUACGGGAGGCAGCAGUGGGGAAUAUUGGACAAUGGGCGCAAGCCUGAUCCAGCCAUGCCGCGUGGAUGAUGAAGGCCUUAGGGUUGUAAAGUCCUUUUAACGGGGAAGAUAAUGACGGUACCCGUAGAAUAAGCCCGGCUAACUUCGUGCCAGCAGCCGC